GGCUCCGUAGCUUAAUGGUUACGGCUUCUGCCUCACAAGCAGAAGGUUCAGGGAUCAAAUCCCGGUCGGUACCU
rnacentral:tRNA from 1 species